rnacentral:rRNA from 1 species
CCCUUAGAUGUUCUGGGCCGCACGCGCGCUACACUGAUCAGCGCAACAAGCAUCCGUCCUUGGCCGACAGGCCCGGGCAAUCUUUGAACGCUGAUCGUGAUGGGGAUAGACUUUUGCAAUUUUUGGUCUUCAACGAGGAAUUCCUAGUAAACGCAAGUCAUCAACUUGCAUUGAUUACGUCCCUGCCCUUUGUACACACCGCCCGUCGCACCUACCGAUUGAAUGGUCCGGUGAAGCCUCCGGAUUGGCGUGCACCCUCGGGUGCUGCCGAGAAGUUGGCUAAACCUUACCAUUUAGAGGAAGGUGAAGUCGUAACA